rnacentral:tRNA from 1 species
GUCCGCGUAGCUCAGCAGGAUAGAGCACAGGAUUCCUUUUUAAUUGGGCGUUGCACUUGGAAACUGUGCAAUGGAUUUGCUCAAAGUCGGGGAACGCUACGGCGCUUAGGCGCCUUGCCAAUCCCGAGCCAAGCCUCGCAAGAGGAAGGUGUAGAGACUGGAUGGGCAACACCUAACGGGCUUCGGUCCCAUGGUGAAGGGACAGUCCAGACCACGAACGCCCGAAAGGGCGGCGGUGAAAGCCGAAGUGGUAUGAAUCCUGGGGUCGUGGGUUCGAAUCCCGCCGCGGACGCCA